AUUGAACGCUAGCGGGAUGCUUUACACAUGCAAGUCGAACGGCAGCGCGGACUUCGGUCUGGCGGCGAGUGGCGAACGGGUGAGUAAUGUAUCGGAACGUGCCCAGUAGCGGGGGAUAACUACGCGAAAGCGUAGCUAAUACCGCAUACGCCCUCCGGGGGAAAGCAGGGGAUCGUAAGACCUUGCACUAUUGGAUCGGCCGAUAUCGGAUUAGCUAGUUGGUGAGGUAACGGCUCACCAAGGCGACGAUCCGUAGCUGGUUUGAGAGGAGGACCAGCCACACUGGAACUGAGACACGGCCCAGACUCCUACGGGAGGCAGCAGUGGGGAAUUUUGGACAAUGGGGGCAACCCUGAUCCAGCCAUCCCGCGUGUGCGAUGAAGGCCUUCGGGUUGUAAAGCACUUUUGGUAGGAAAGAAACGUCGCGGGCUAAUACCCCGUGGAACUGACGGUACCUUCAGAAUAAGCACCGGCUAACUACGUG
rnacentral:rRNA from 1 species